CCCAACCUGACUGCUGUGUUCUGCCCUGAGUCUGCAGAGGCUGACCCUGGCCAGGAAAGUGGUUGGAAAAGCAUUUUUGCAGAGAGGCAGCCUGAAGGUGGUGGCUCUAUGUAAGUGUGCACCCUUGGUUGGAAAGGCUGAAGGUCAGGAAUGGUAUUAGGAGAAAGUUCCCCCUUUCUCCUUUGUCCCUCCUUCCUGCCCCUGGACACAGGCUUGAGGAUCUGCAUCUGGCUGGCUCACCCUUCCUGCACAACUUUUCUAUUCAAGUUUUUCAGGGCAGGGCUUUAAGAAACACUUCAGGUUAAUUAUAGCCAGGGGUCAUUUUCUAUACAAGCGGGACAAACUUGAUGUGACUACAGGGCUGUCUCCAGGGCUGAUUCAUUCGACCUAGAAAACUGCCCCUAGGGAAACAGCCUCAGAAUCUUGCCUGCAGCUCUGGAAGUGGUAAUGGGCCCACCUGUCUCCCUGCCCAUCAUCUCACAUCUGGGGGAAUGUCUUGGCUAGCAGCAUGGCCCUGAGUGAGGGGUUUAGGUAAACAAGGUGUGACUGGGAUUGGAAGAGUCACAAACCUGUUUGUUAGAGCAAUGCUGAAGAGUUUCAGGAAAAGAAUUUCAUCAAGGCUGGCACAUCUGUCCUCAGACACUUGAAGGAUUCCCUGGAGGAAGGAGGACUGAACUUGCCCUACAAGAUCCUGCGGGGCAAAGAACUGUAAGCAGAGACAAAAUGAAAGCCCUCUAGGCCCACAAUUGAUUCUAACGGCUGUGAGGGAAUGAGCUUCAACUACUGUUGAUGGGAGGGACUGUGUGCCAGGCACUGUGCUAGGGACUCUCAUGCAUGAUCUCAUUCAUCUUCUGCAUAACCCAAUGAGGUAUGAUCUACUAUCAAGUGUCUACAUUUGUAUUGGAUUGGUAUGUGUGCCCAACAAAGAAAGUGUCAUUUUUCCUUGGGAAUGAAAUCACAUCAUUUGUGAAGACUUAGUAGAGGCUAAAUGAGUACAAGCAGCAUUUACCUUAUUAAACAGAUAUUUUCAACAUUUAAAACAGUCUGACCAUCAAUGAUGAUGUUCAAAAACAUCUCAAGAUGUUUUAGAGCUAAAGCAAAUGAGAAAAUAUAGUAAAGGGCUGAUUCCUGUGGAUAUUCUGCAAAGGAAAGUAACAUGGUGGAGUGGAAGUGGGAUAAGGUUUGAAGCCAAAAGACCUGGUGGGCUUAAGGUCUCCAUUUAUUGGUUGUGUGACCUUGGAUAAGCCACUUCACCUCCUGGUGAGACUUGGGCAAAAUGGAGAUCAUAUUAAUCACCUCACAGUUUGUUACGCAUUGAGUAAAUGCACAUGUAAGCAUUAUUGACUGUAAAUGAUUAUGCAUAUUUUAAUUAUGGUAUAUCCAAGCCUGAUUUUUCAUCCAGUGCUUACAGUGCCCUGGGCAUAAUACUCAUUCAAUAAACAUUUGUUUGAUGAUAGAGUAAUAAAUGAAUAUGUGAUGCAGAAGUUUUAAAAAUAUUUUUGCUGCUGUCUGACUCAUUUAUAGACAUUUAUAAAAUUGAGGAUUUGUAAGUUGUCCCUGGACAAUCAGAUCUCUUGAUUCAAAGGUGAAAGAUAAUCAUUCAGGUUUUCAAGUUUUUCCUGAUAUGAGACAUUAACUGGCAGGGCUGAUUAUGAGAAAUUGUCAUUAUCCUGCUCAAAUAUAAGAUCAUAGAUUUGGGAAACCUUAGAAAUAAUUACCUUCUUUUCAAAUAUGAGGAAACUGAAGCCCAGAGGCUCUAAGAAAUCAGGGACUUUAUAUAAUUUUUUCAUUUCUCUAGCUCUAGGGUAAUUGUAGAUAGAUAUACAACAAGUAUGUUUUUAAAAGUAUAUUUUUCAAGAAUUAUGCUAAGCACUGGGGAAAUAAACAUUAACAAGACAAAACCCUCCCCUUUGAGGAACUGAUAAUCUAGACAGACAUGAAAACCAGGAAGUGUGCUAUCAGUUAUAUUAAUGUUGUACAGAGUUCUAGUGGCAAGAGGGAACUGCCAAGGGAAAUCUGAGAGGAGGUGUUUACCCUGCGUAAACACCUUGCUGUUUAGCUUGGCAUCCCUAGAAGCAGACCCUGAGGACAGUGGGAAAAUGGAUUAUUAAGGAAGUGCUCCUGAGAGAAACCAGAAAGGGGGUGUAGGGAGCAAGGGAGGAUAAGGAGAAGACUCCAGUAAGGAUGAGAUUACUCAAGUCCCAUGGAAGACAGGUUAGCCUGAUCCUGCAGGGGAGCCCUGGAGGCACAUGCCUGAAAGGCAGUCUUGGAGCAGCUGCCUCAUGUUGGAGGAAAAACACUGAAGUGGGAUGAGAAGAUGUGAGUUCCGGUCCCAGAUCUGAUUUGUUUGGCACAUAAGUUUGGUUUCAGAUAACUAUAUAAAAGUCAAUCAUCAAUAAUUUGUUAAACACCAAUUUGUGCCGGAGUCGCUCUGGAAACUUGCCAGAAACAUGGGGACUUAACAUCUCUGGAAAGCCAGAAAUCAGAGAUACAGAGAAGUAUUGAAAUGCUGAAAUGCUAUGAAUUUACUAUAAGAGAACAUUCUUCACUGAAGAGAUCUCUAGCUGCCAAAACACCCUUUCAUGCGUGAAAUACCGGGGCAAAGAGGAAGGAAAAGAGAAGAGUAUGACUCUAGGAACCAUGUUGCAGAAAUGCCAAAGGGUGGGACAAACAAAGUUACUAAUGUGGAGAAAGAAGAUUAUCAUGUGUGGAACGAAGGACAAUAUGAACAUUAAAUAAUGCCCUGACUCAUUCCAAAAAGAAUCUGAGAUGACCAAUAAAGCCAUUUUUAAUUGUUUAUUAGUGAACAAUAGAUUAUGAGUGCUAAAGGGAUUCAGGAAGAAGAAAGAUCAGUGCAGAGUAGAGAAGUCUGAUGGAUGCAUUGAAGAAGCUAUGCUUGAGCUGAAAUGACAAGAGAGCUGUUUUUCGCUUUCAGAAUUAUUAUGUGGCAAUGGUAAUUGACAACAGAGAAGCUGAAGGGAGGAAGUCACUUUAUGGGAGCAGAGUCACUCUCAAGUAAUAGCUGGCCAUACAGAUUGCUCUGGACCAAGGGUGAAUGUGAAGAAGAAAAGACCGGCCAGCAACACAAUGGAAUAUCUAGAGUCAUAUUGAGGGAAAUACUUAGAUUGCUGAUUUCUUAGUGGAUUUCACAAGCAGAGCUGCUUGUGAGCAGAAUGGUGAAGUAGGGGCAUGUGUUUCUGGGGUCUUAUUCCAUGGCUUCCUUCCACCUACAAGAGUCAUCCUCACGGAGUACUUGCAUUUCAGUAGAAGAAAAAAAUCUUAUAGAUGGAAGGGAAGGAUGGGGUUCCUGCUUUAGGAAGAUUGGCAUGGUCAUAAGUCUGAGCAAGGAAGGGCCCAGGGCAGCUCAGAGCUCUGAGCAGGAAGCUCUAAUUAGUUACUGAAUAUGGUGCAAGCACAAAGAGAGCGUAGUGUUUUCCCUUUCCAUCUGUGGAAGUCUUGGCCAUGCUUACUUGGGCGUUCCUUCCAGGAAACAUUUAUUUUUCCUCUUUAAUGCCCUCCUCAUAUCUAUGCUCUCAGUAGAGGAUGCCACUGCUUCUGGCACCUGGAUAAUAGAAUGAAGCUGAUUGGGAUGGAAACAGAAAAGUCAUCUCUCAGAACAAUGAGCAGAGACUGAAACUCCCUUGUACCCAGUCCCUGUGCACUGCUGUUCAUAGCCAAAUGGGCAAGGCCUUGCCAAAUGUCAUGUUGAGGUGAGGCCCUAAGUGAUAGAAAAAUAAAAAAUGACUAUGGCCACUUGCAUGUUCAGAGAAUUCAGUUUAGAAAAUGCUAUGCUGGGAGGAUCUCUCUUAAUAUCUUGUUUGCAUCAGAAUGUUCAAGUUGCAAUAUAUGUUUUUGUUUUGUGUAUUUAUUUAUUUUCCUCUACUCUAUUCUGUUAAGUCUUUUAGGGCAAAGGUAGGGUAGUCUAUACUCCCUGCGUUAUCCAUAAUGCCUAGCACUGUGUCUUGUACAUAAAAGGUCAUAAUAAAUACCUGUUGGCUAGAUAGAUGAAUGGAUAGAGUGCCUCAUUUAGAAGCAUUAUACUUCUAUGGAAAAAAAUUUUUAAAUGUAUUUUUUUCUAUGAGAUAACACAGUUCCUGAAUAGGUCAUGGGCAGGUGCUAUUCAAGUUUGCGAAGGAAAGGUUUUCCUAGAGUUAGGGUAAUUUUUUCCUCAAAUAAGAAAAACCUACAGUAAAUAAUUACUCUCCAUAUUAUCUUUAGGUUUCUUGCCAGUAUUAACAUCUUUUUUAUUGUAAGUGAUGAUAUUGUCUGUGAGAACAUUACAGUAGGUUAGUAUCCUGGGUUAAGCUAAGUGUUGUUGAAAAUAAUCCUGGACAUCCAAACAGGAAGAGAGGAAGUCAAACUAUUCCUGUUUGCAAAUAACAUGAUUCUAUAUCUAGAAAACCCUGUAAUGUCAGCCCCAAGGCUCUGUGAGAUCAGAGAUAAAUAACCUCAGCAAAGUCAACAUACAAACAUCAGUAGCAUUCCUUAUACAAACAACAUCCAAGCUGAUGGCCAAAUCAGGAUGCAAUCCCAUUCACAAUUGCCCCCCCAAAAAUAUAAAAUACUUAGGAAUACAGCUAACCAGGGAUGUGAAAGAUCUCUAUAAUAAGAAUUACAAAACACUGCUCAAAAAAUCAUAGAUGACACCAAAAAUUGGAAAAAUAAUCCAUGCUCAUGGAUUGGAUGAAUCAAUAUCAUUAAAAUGGCCAUACUGCCCAAAGCAAUUUACAGAUUUCACAGAUUCAGUGCUAUUCCUAUCAAAAUAUCAAUGACAUUUUUCGUGGAAUUAGAAAAAACUAUUUUAAAAUUGACAUGGAACCCAAAAGGGACCCCGAAUAGUCGAGGCAAUCCUAAACAAAAAGAACAAAGCUGGAGGUAUUAUAUUACCCAAUGUCAACAUAUACUACAGGGCUAUAGUAACCAAAAGAGCAUGGUACUGGUACAAAAACAGACACAUAGACCAAUAGAACGUAAUAAAGAGCCCAGAAAUAAUGUCACACCACUUACAACCAUCUGAUCUUCAAUAAAGCUGACAAAAACAAACAAUAGGGAAAAGAUUCCUCAUUCAAUAAAUGGUGCUGGGAUAACUGGCUAGUCAUAUGCAGAAGAUUGAAACUGGACACCCCACCUUACACUACAUACAAAAAUCAGUGUAAGAUGAAUUAAAGGCUUAAAUGUAAAACCUAAAACUAUAAAAACCCUGAAAGAUAACCUAGGAAAUACCAUUCUGGACAUAGAACUUGGCAAAGAUUUCAUGAUGAAGACAACAAAAGCAAUUGCAACAAAAACAAAAAUUGACAAAUGGGAUCUAAUUAAACUGAAGAGCUUCUGAACAAAAAAAGAAACUAUCAACAGAGUAAACAGACAACCUACAGAAUGGGAGAAGAUAUCUGCAAACUAUGCAUCCAACAAAGGUCUAAUAUCCAGAUGCUGUAAGGAACUUAAAUUUAUAAGCAUAAACAAACAACCCCAUUAAAAAGUGGGCAAAGGACAUGAAGAGAUACUUUUCAAAAGAAGACAUAUAUGUGGCCAACAAGCAUAUAAAAAAUGCUCAACAUCACUAAUCAUUAGAGAAAUGCAAAUUAAAACCACAGUGAAAUACCAUCCCACACCAGUCAGAAUGGCUAUUAUUAAAAGUUGAAAAAUAAUAGGUGCUAGCAAUGUUGUGGAGAAAAGGGAACACUUAUACACCACUGAUGGGAAUGUAAAUUAGUUCAGCCACUGUAGAAAGCAGUUGGGUGAUUCCUCAAAGAACUUAAAAAAACAGAGUUACCAUCCAACCUAGCAACCCCAUUAUUGGGUAUAAUCCAAAGGAAUAUAAAUUGUUCUAUCAUAAAGACACAUGCACAUGUAUAUUCAUUGCAGCACUAUUCGCAAUAAGAAAGAUAUGGCAUCACCCUAAAUGCCCAUCAGUGGUAGACUGGAUAAAGAAAAUGUGGUGCAUAUACACCAUGGAAUACUAUGCAGCCAUAAAAAACAAUGAGAUCAUGUCCUGUGAAGCAACAUGGAUGGAUCUGGAAGCCAUUAUCCUAAGCAAACUAACACAAGAACAGAAAACCAAAUAUGGCAUGUUCUUACAAGUGGAAGCUAAACAAUAGGAACACAUGGAUAUUAGAAGGGUAACAGAAGAUAUUGGGGCCUACUUGAGGGUGGAAAGUGGGAGGAAGGAGAGGAUCGGAAAAAUACCUAUUGGGUACUAUGUUUAUUACCUGGAUGAUAAAAUUAUCUGUCACCAAACCCCUGUGACAUGCAGUUUACCUAUAUAACAAACCUGCACAUGUACCCCUGAGCCUAAAAUAAAAGUUUAAAAAAAAAAAAGAAAAUACACCUGGACCCUAUUUUGAAAGACAUACUGUAGACUUGAGGGAGGAAGAGCAGAGGGAUGGAAAGGGCCCCGAAUUACCCACAAGCCAUGUGAAUGCUUAAGCAGUCAUGGACCACAAUUCUCACCACACACACACACACACACACACACACACACACACACACACACACACAGGUCUGAACCCUUACCCCUGUCUACUACUUAUUGGAGCUUGGUAGAAAAAAAGUUGUGAGUGACAGAAAAGUGAGAAAAAGAGAAGAAGAAGAAAAAUUGGAAAGUGUGGAAGAAAAAGUGGCAAAUGCAAGCAGCCCUUAAUGGAACUGUGCUGAAUUGAGAGACAGCAGAAGGUAACAGCUGGCUGGGACUUGGCCAUGAAAGGUGGAAUGUGAGGAGACAAAUGAAAUGGAAAUGCAGGAAAGAAUGGAGUGGCAAAGGAGGCUGGAGAUGGGGCAGAGGAUAGCAAGGGGAGAGAAGGAAGCACAGAAAGGGUGUGGGGGACAGGCCAGAGAGUAGAAGGCUAGAUGGAACUGACUGAUGCCACCAGUCAGAGAUGGAGACCAUUAACAAUGUGUAGGGAAACCCCUGCCUUCCCAAUAAUGAAAAUGCAGGUUUAAUCAGUACCAAGGAACACUGUGAAGUAAGGGCAUUGACUUGGGAAGUGAAAGCCGAAGAUAGAGCAAACCCCAUACGGCAUAUCCUAACUCGCCAUUUUAACAGCAGAAAGACUCGAAAAUACAAAGCAAAGGAUUAUCCAAAGGGCUUUUUAAAAUAAUGCUUAAAAUUUUAAUCUUGUAAAUAUAUUUCCCUUCCCAGUAUGAAAAUAAUUCCGAGUAUAAUCUUUAUUUACUUUCCCCUUUUUAUUUUAGAAGAGUAAACAUAGCUUUAAGAAUUAAAAAAAUCAGUUAAUAAUCUGACUUUUAAGUCAGCUGUAAAAAUGUAAGUUUCUAGCUCUGCCACUUUUUAGUAGUGUGACUUUGGGCAAAUUGCUCAAAAACUCCAAAUUCUUGUUUCUUUACCUACAAAAAAGGGACAAUAAUACAUACCUCCUAUGAUAGUAGAAAAUUACGUGAAAAUAUACUCCAAGUAUCUCAGAGGGCUUGAUUUCCAGAAAGCGCCCAAGCUCAAUCAAUAGUGACGUUUACUAUCCACGCAGCCAGUUCUACUACUGGGAGUUGGUUGGUGCUGAUAAAGCUUUUUGUCAGACUUCUCACAAUUUCCAUUGUGAGAAGAUGUAGCUUCCAAUUAACUCUGUCACUGAUUGUUGGGUAACUUUGGGCCAAAUGCUGUUCCUUAAUGAAUGUGGGUGUGAAACUUAUUAAGAUUAAUGACUGUCACAGCUGUUAGCCAGAUGUUUACAUAAUUCCCUCUGUUUUACAGCAAUCAUAUCAGAGGAAAGGGGUUGAAUGAUAGAAUUAGAAAAAUAAGUACAAUAUUGUGGGAAUGAAUAAAUGUUGUUUUGGAGGGUAGGAGAUUAAAAUCCUAAAUGUAUUUUGAUUAGGCUAAUAUUAAAAAUUAGCAUCUGUAAAUCAGUAAUCUAAUUGAAGGAAUUUUUUAACACAAGUGACUGGUGGAGGGGACACAGCAUGGGAGGGCAUGCUUACAGCAAGAGCUCCAUUGAUUAAAUAGUCCCCUGCAGAACACAGAGAGUUAAAUACGUCUUUAAUAGCCUCCAGCAUGAAAGGGCAAAUCAUUUGUUUUAAUUGAGGAAGGAUAAAAUAUUUUUGCUUUACACAUAUAUGUUCUAUUUUAGCAUCAUAGUUAUUUUUAUAGCUGUUAUAACUUCACAAAACCUAAUAGGAAAAUAAAUCUGAAUCCAGAAGAGUUCAAUACUUUCCAGAGGAGUCUAGUAAAUAAAAACUCUACACUGACUGACUGAUCUUAUUCAUGCACUGCUCCUAAACCCAAACUCUCAAGUGAAGGGAAAAGAGGUUAAUUCGUUGGAAUAAAUUCAUGGGAUUUUUUUUUAAAGACACAUCCUGAAUCAAAGUGAUUAAAACAACAAAUGGAUAAAGGGUAGAGCUGUGAGAGGACAAGGUUUGCAUUACUGAGCAUCUUGAUUAUGUGGGGAAGAUGGGAAACAGAUCUUGCCCAUUCUGGUCUCAAACUACUAAAUCCUGAGAAUGCCAAGAGGCGAGUCACUGAAGUCAGAAGUUGGAAACAUGGCUAAGCUGUCCAGAGUGUGGAACACAUGGUCUCUGAAGGUUUUUAUUAGUGUGUGGGUGAGAGUUCAGAAGCUCUACUAAUUACUUUUGUUUUCAGAAUUUAUAAAGUUAAGACAGAAAGCGGAAUAUUAACACUUCACUUCCUCGUGCAGUCAUUAAUUUACUCACUUAGCAUACAUUUAUUCAUAGAAGCUUAUUGGUACCAAGUAUACCCUCAAUGAGCAACCAACCCAAAAUUGCAAAAGGGAGAUCAAACAGGGAAGCUGUGGUAGGAAGUAUCAUGGCCUCUUCAAAGAUGUCUAUAUACUAAUCACAGAAUUUAUGUAUAUGUGAUGCUGUAUGUCAAGGGAAGAUUAAGGUGUGCAGAUGGAAUUAAGGUUGCUAAUCAGCUGACCUUAAAAUAGGAGUACUAUCUUGGAAUAUCUGGGUGGGCUCAAUGUAAUCACAAAUGUUCUUAACAGAUAGAAGAAGAAGGCAGAGGAGUCAGUGUUGGAGUGAUGCCAUGUGAGAAAGACUCAACUGGCCAUUGCUGGCUUUGAAAAUGGAAGGAGGCAUAAGCCAAGGAAUGAAUGCAGGUGCCUCUAGAACCUGGAAAAAGCAAGGAAACAAAUUCUCCUCUAGAACCUCCAGAAGGAAUGCAUUCCUGCCAACACCUUGAUUUUUAGCUCGGUGAGACCCAUGCUGGACUUCUGACCUGCAGGAUUGCAAGAUAAGAUAUUUGACUUAUUUUAAGAUGCUAAGUUUGCAGUAAUUUGAUAUGGUAGCCAUCGGAAACUAAUACCGAUGCCAAAGCAGUAAAGCAGGAAAGCACUCCAAAAUCACAGGAGUGAGAGGAGCAGAAAUGUCCUAGGAGAAGACAAUGUUUCCUUUUGAAAAGGAAAGUUUACUGGCAACUUCCAUUUGAAUUUCUUAAUUUCUUUCCUCAGUGGCAGUCACUACUUCCAAGGUGGCAGGUUCCAGAGCUGAUUCAUUAUAUAAUCUUUUCUCAGGAGUAUUCUAGCCACCUUUAAAGAAGCUAGGGCCAUUUUCCUGACACUGCAUCAAGGGGUAAGGUUAGUGGUAAAGAAACCAUGCGGUAGGAAAGGCCAACUUUCUCCCUACAUAAUCCAAUCGCAUUAUCUCCAGACUUGCUCACCCUCUGCUCUUUGCAUACUGCAGCUCCAGAGCUUUCAUACCUACAGACUUCCUGGAGUUAAGACUAAAACAAGAGUUGUGCUACAGACUACCGUUCCUAUUAUCAUUUUUUGUGUCCUGCUGAGUCCUCCCCUCUUGGCAACUUCAGGACCACCCACUGGGAAGAUAAUAUACAACCCAUCAGGAAACUCCCAGUGCCCAUCGUGGAGGCCAAGUGCUGCCAACUCUGAUUGCUUCUGGAAUGCCAUUUCUUCCCUGCCCUUUCAAUAUUCUUGUUAUGCGACUCCUAUGAUCACUGCCAAUCUGUAGAAAAUUACAGGAUGAAUUUUUGUGAAGGACUGAAUUUGCAUACUGGUCUUUUGUUGUUUAUUGUUGGGGGGAUUUUGCUUUUUGCACACAAUUUCUGCACAUUUUAUUGGAAGUUAUUGGGUUAGAUUCAUCCCAUUCAUUCACUAGCCUGGCAUUGCUAUGCAUGUGCUGUAGGGGCUUAGCAUUAAACGAUUUUCUUUGUUCAGAUUUGGAUUGCUGUCUCUGCUUGCAAAUUAUUUUUCACAAUGACUCCUUCUUUUCCUUCUCUCUCUCUCUCUUUCUCUCUCUCUCUCUCUCACACACACACACAGACACACACACACACACACACACACACACACACACACACACACAGAUGAGGUUAGAUAUUUUUCCAUUGCCAAGUUCAGGACCCAUGAAUAC
rnacentral:lncRNA from 1 species